AACGAACGCUGGCGGCAUGCCUAACACAUGCAAGUCGAACGAGACCUUCGGGUCUAGUGGCGCACGGGUGCGUAACGCGUGGGAACCUGCCCUUAGGUUCGGAAUAACUCCCCGAAAGGGGUGCUAAUACCGGAUAAUGUCCUCGGACCAAAGAUUUAUCGCCUUUGGAUGGGCCCGCGUUGGAUUAGCUAGUUGGUAGGGUAAAAGCCUACCAAGGCGACGAUCCAUAGCUGGUCUGAGAGGAUGAUCAGCCACACUGGGACUGAGACACGGCCCAGACUCCUACGGGAGGCAGCAGUGGGGAAUAUUGGACAAUGGGCGAAAGCCUGAUCCAGCAAGGCCGCGUGAGUGAUGAAGGCCUUAGGGUUGUAAAGCUCUUUUACCCGGGAUGAUAAUGACAGUACCGGGAGAAUAAGCUCCGGCUAACUCCGUG
rnacentral:rRNA from 1 species